GACGAGGGGUCCAAGCGUUGUUCGGAAUCAUUGGGCGUAAAGCGGGUGUAGGUGGAUUUGUAAGUCAGGAGUGAAAGCCCCAGGCUUAACCUGGGAAGUGCUUUUGAUACUGCAAAUCUUGAAUGUGGGAGAGGAUGGUGGAAUUCCUGGUGUAGUGGUGAAAUACGUAGAUAUCAGGAGGAACUCCGGUGGCGAAGGCGGCCAUCUGGCCCAACAUUGACACUGAGACCCGAAAGCGUGGGGAUCAAAC
rnacentral:rRNA from 1 species